UUACCAACUCGUGUCUCGAGAAAAAUAAAAAAAACCCUAGAUACAAUACUAGUAAAAAAGAACUGCGCAUUGUCACUAUUCGCCAAGCCUAUCUAGGAUCUAGGAUCUCAAAUAUUUCAACGCACUUUGGGAAAAUAAAAAAGAACCCUAGAUAGAAAAUUUUUACCAAGGAAGGCAAUAUACAUGGAUAAAAAUUAUCGGCCAGAUUAGACGUUUCUCGCGCAAAGGUCGUUCGUCUCCCGUCUCAUUUGAGCUGGCCUGUGCCCCCCCUCCUCAUCGUUCUCCCUCAGUCAUCGUCUAGCCGCGUUUGCACGGUAGCCAUUUGCAAGAUUACGAGCGCUGCCGCUAGGGCGCUCAUUAACGAGCGAACGAAAGAAGAGAUUAUCAACCGACUAAGCGUAACUAACAACAACGAGCUACGUCCAAUUUGAGAAACGGCUAAUUAUAUGGCCGCGGGUACCUACCAUUCGCUUCGUGGCGCGAGCUACUUUUUCCUUUUUUUUUUUUUUCGCGACCACCGACGACUAAUUACUCGAAACGACUUCGAUCGCCACCGUUGUGACACCAUUGCCCAACACACGCCAAGAUUAAUCGCGAUACGUUGUGCCCUACAGCAAAAUUAAUUGCAUCGAGUGCGCUUCCUCCUCGGGCUAAGCAUGUGAGUGGCCAAAAACGACCAAUCCUUUCGAUAACCAAAAAAGAAGUAAAAAGAUAAAGAAGAGGAAGAUAUAACAGGUUGUUUCGAAAGUUUAUUCGACUUUUUUUUACUUUCUGUCACUUUUAUACACAUUCAUUCUUCCAGAGUAGUAGUCGAAUAUGAAUAUUCGUACAAAUAUUUUCACAGAUACAGAGCGUUGAUAUAUAUAUAUAAUUUCUAAGAGUUUAAUUUAGAUGGAUCGAAAAAUAGUGUACUAUUUUAAGUUUUCUCAGUCAAUCGUCUAACAAUUUGUCGUCGAUGUACGACGUAUCAUGGUGCGUCAUAUCUUUUCGAGGGAAAAGAUUCGUAUAAGUGGUGGUGUAGUUGUUACUUAAUGGUGGUACGAGUUUCCUCUGUGCACGAGAAAUAGGGGGAAGAAAUAGGGGUGGCGAGGAUGAUCGGUAUGGUGUUCGCAUCAAUAUGAAACGAUCACGCGGGGGGGGCUCGUGCUGAGACAAUAUUUAUAUCUGACAUUUUGUCAGCCCCCCUGUAACAUCGAGCACGUCUAAUAAUUACAAUACGAAGAGAGGAAUAUCAUCGAAAUUGUUUCUGUGAAACAAUACAACUGUGAAACGAGACUUUGUGAUCCAAAUUAAUUUAUCGAGGUCCAAAAAUUGAAGAAAAUUCUUGUUCAAUCGAAUUAUAUAUUUUUAACACGACGAUUGAAAUUACCGUUCGACAAAUGAGUCGGAAAAAUCAACUGCGAAUAAAGGACACAGGUUCGAUAAUAAUAAAAAUUGCAUUACACGCUCCCAGAUGGAUUAGAUUAAUCAUUGAUUGGUAUCUUGGAAACUAUAUAAUAGAUACAAAUACGCCUUAUGAAAUUAAAUGGAUAACUCUAAGACCAGGCCACGUUGUCGGCUAUUAGAAAAAUUCUAAUUUUAGUCGCAGCUGAUAUAUCAAGCGGCGAAUUCAUCGCGAGAGGUGUACGUGGAACGAGGUAGGAGGAAAGUUUUAAUCGGCACCGUGGAUCGCGAUUUUCACCCCUUGGCGAAUCACGCAGCCACGAAAAUCGUUACGAAUAAAUAAUCGUUACUCGGCCGUGACGUUAACGACCGGCUGAUUAUCAAUUUCCAUUAUUGCGUUUAACGUUGGAAUAUACGUUAAUACGUCGAAAAAAAAAAAGAGAAAAAGAAAGAAAAGGAAAAAAAAAAACGUGGUUAAUACGGAGGCGUGGCUGAAACUGGAAGGCUUAACGAAUAUUAAAUAUCACGGCCCUGUCAAAAAACAUUUGCCUCGCAUUACGUCUAAUGCGAGCUUGGUAAUUCGAAAUCCACCAAUCCUCGUCCAUAUCGUGAAAAUUAAUAUCGAUUAUUGGAUCGUCUUUUCUUUCGUUUCGAUAUUUUUAAUUUCAAAAUUUAAUCACGAUAUCUUUAUCUCAAAUUUUAAUUGGAUUUGUAAAAAAUACUUUUAAAAGUCUUCUAUUUUUUUUUUUCCAUAGUCUAUAUAUAACUUGUUUAUUUUCAAGCAUCGUCAAUUGACAAAUUUUGACAUGGAAAGAUUCACCACGAUUCAAUUCUUCUCCCCUUCGAAAUCUGGAUCGUCCACGUACAUGCAUGAUCCAAAAACAUAACGUAACAGGGAUUGAACGAAGAUCCUCAGACAGUUGAAACGUCUGGCCACAUUCCUGGACGAUGAUUUUCGUGCCUGCACAUGGCGAGCCCGAGGGUCUAGGACCCCUAGCAAGAGAGAAGGACGGGGAGGGAGGGAGGGAGGGAGGAAGGAAGGGGGGUUAGAUUUGAUUCGUAGGGGGAUAGAAACAGAUCGGGUACGGUCGGUGCGCCUCGACGGAACGCCAUGGAAGGGAGAUGGUCGGCGUGCAACACCGUACCAAAGCAAUAUCCAUAGGAAACACCCCGUUGUCAGAGGGAGAGACGAAGAGACGCGCGAUCAAUCACGAGGGACCCUGCUGCCACGUUCGUGGCCCUCGUAUCAAACGUAACGCACGUUGGAAUUCAGCGAUGCGCCGUUUCUGUUAAUCAAAUUUUCCCGCCGUUUCUCGCGGGAAACGUUGAGUACGCCUCCAUCUUGAAUCUCGAGAUCGUGCGUCGAACGUACGUGGAUUUGAGGAUCCUCUUUGGAGAAGGAGAGAUAAUCUGAAGAAUACGAAAGUUGAUGCAGGAUAAAAAUAAUUAUUCUUCCCAAAAUCUCCUUCAAUUACGGGCACGGAACGCAGGAGUGGUGCCUUGUAACUGUCGAGAGCGUUUAACAAGGGCCACGUGUGUAAGACAAUUCACGAUGGUUGUUACGGCUCGGGUUUCCCUGUGUGUUGGAACGGUGAACGACAAACAACAGGAUCCAGGUUGCCUCUGUUUCUGCCCACGCAACGGCCAACAAACGUCAGAACGGUAAUCCGGAUGAAAUUAAAGCGUGGAAUUAACGGUGUCGGGUAAAAUAUCGGCGAUACACAACGCGGGAGAAGAAAAUGGAGGCCGAUUAUUGGAAAUGAUAAAAAUUCAUUAUGGGCCCUUGUGCAUUCCCUCCCUGUUGAAAAUUGAUGGCCGAUGGUAUCGAGUGGUAUAACAGGUGUAUGGAAUAUUUUAUUAUUAUUAUUCGUAACGAAUUGAUCGAUGGAUUAUUUUUCUUUUUUUUAUCUUUUUGUAGUAUUUCGAAGAUUGUUGGAUCGAAUAAAUAAAUCUAUUAAGGCUUAUCGUUUUAAGAUUUCUCAAAAAUUGAAUAAUUAUUUUAUUCUUGGAAAAUUGGAUCGGUAAAAAUAUUGCGCUGUAACGUCCAAUGUUAAUUCUCCAUCAUAUCAACAAACACGUAAGACCAUCGCAACGCGUCAUAAAUCACGGCUUGACAAGAAAAUUACAAGCGAAAUGUUUGACUUUACUAAAGACCCCGUUUGUAAUAUCGCGACUAAUCUUUUACGUCUUGCAGAAAAGAAGCCAAAUGGACCCUUUGACAUCCAAGUUCCAGAGCAACGAAACAAGGAACCAAACAGUCAUCAAAGUGAAAUGCCAAGUUGUCCAACGUCUCGCCAAAGGGUGAUUAAUGUACACGGAAGAAAGAGAAGAAGAAGAAGGAGAAUAAAAUAAGUAGGAAGAUGGCUAAGUCUCUUUCAGAUGUUUAAUGUAUUGAACAAAUUUAAUAGGAUGUUUUCACGUGAUAUAUUGUGCAAAGAUUUAAGAGGACCUUUAAGAUAAUGUAUAAAUUAAAUAGAAUCUUUCUUUAUGCAAGGAUCUUUCAUAUCUUAUACUUGAUAAAAUUUUUCAGAUGAUGCACAAACUCGAUAGGAUCUCUCGGACGAAUCCAUAAGAAUUCAAACGACGCCCAAAUUCCCAAGACAAUACGUAAUACAAUAUAUACUCGAUAGAGAGGCUUUUGUCAUAUCCAUUGUACAAACAGGAUAAUACGAGCAUUACUGUAUGGAAUACAGGCUCGAGAGGAACAAUGCGAUAAACAAAAGAAAGAGUAACGAGAAAAAAAAAGGAGAGGAAAUAUUCUCCUUAAUCUGGUCAUAAAUCCAGCGUAAUCCAAAUUCGCCUGGCGGAGUUGCUGCGCUCUCGUGCGAUUAAAUAUUAACAACGGGAGGCCGAUUGCGUAAUUAAAAGGGUAUUCGUGCUAUUACGAUCCAAGUCGCAUGCGGAAACGAGCGUGCAAAUCGAGAGCUGCAAACGGGAUCCGUGGCAACUUCCUUAUCUGGCUUUUCGAUUUUCCCUAACUUUGAAAUCUAACUAAAGGGACCAAGUUUGGUCGCAACUUUCCGCACGCCGCCGCCAUUUUGCCGUCGAUACGCGGAAUCGAGCCGUUAUUUCACUUUAAACCCCCUGAAAAUGGGCCUUGGCAAAUAGACGUUUAGAGUUAUGAAUAAAUUGUGAUAUUUUCUUCAAUUGUUAUACGGAAAAGGCAAGGAGAAUUCUUUCGAAUUAAAGAAAAAUUCAAGAAUUUAGCUAAGGAAUGAUAAGAUUGUAUCUGUUAUUACAAUGCCGUAUCGUACAGAAUUAUCAAUGUAGAUUACGAGUUGAAAAAGUUAUUAAGUAAAUGGCAGCAAUCUGAAAAAUAAGGAGUAUCAAACUAAUUAUUCUGUUCAUUAAUUAUUUAAUUUGUCGUCGCACGAAGAAAAAUUAUUGGAGCUAUUGUUUCAAUUAUUCUUCCAAUCUUAAAUUGAAAAUUGAAGUCAAAUUAAUCAUGCCGAGGAAUGAAAUAAUGAUCGAUUGUUAUAUCGUCGAAAGAAGUAAAAAUUUCUCGUGGUUCAAUUAUUUCUCGACGACGCGACGAUUAUCAAAUGGUAAUUAUCGUGAGAAAAAAAAGGAAUACGAUGAUAUUUUAAGCUGUCAAAUAAAAAAUACAUCAAACGAGAGAUCAAUCGUAUAUGUAAUUAUGUAAUUACGUUUCACACGGAAUAUUCUCUACAGUCUGAAUUGAGUUAUACUUAGACGCCGCUCGAAACCAUUUAUGCAGUCAUUAAGGCAUCAUUAAUCUUGACUCCGUUAUGCGCGACAAGUCAUUGUUAGGAACAGGUGCUACUUCCUAGGUGGACGGGGUUAUUAGCCGAAUGAAUGAAAUAUAAAGAAAUCGACGGUAAAAAUCUCGGCUAGAAACGAGCUGUGGCUAGUAAUUAACAAAUGUAUCGAGAAAAAUGUAAUUUUAAUGAAGAAAUAAAAAAUGCAAGCUUUCAUCAAAAAUGAAAAAAUAAAAAAGUAAUUAUUAUUGUAGAUUGUCCACUUAAUUCUACAAAUUUUUCCAAUUACAACUCGAUCAAUUGAUAUAUUUUGUAAAGAAUCGUUAGAUAUUU